rnacentral:rRNA from 1 species
GAUGAACGCUGGCGGCGUGCCUAAUACAUGCAAGUCGAGCGAACGGACGAUAAUCUUGCUUCUCUGAUGUUAGCGGCGGACGUGUGUGUAACACGUGUAUAACCUACCUAUAAGUCUGGGAUAACUUCGGGAAACCGGUUCUAAUACCGUAUAAUAUUUUGAACCGCAUGCUUCCAUAGUUAUUGUCGUUCUUGCUGUCACUUAUAGCUGGUUCCGCGCUGCAUUAGCUAGUUGGUAAGGUAACGGCUUACCAAGGCAACGAUGCGUAGCCGACGUGAGAGGGUGAUCGGCCACACUGGAAGUGAGACACGGACCAGAGUACUACGGGAGGCAGCAGUAGGGAAUGGGCGGCAAUGGGGGAAAGGAUGACGGAGCAACGCGGCGGGAGUGAUGAAGGACUGCGGAUCGUAAAACUGUGUUAUUAGGGAAGAAAAAAAGUGUAAGUAAGAGUGAACAGAUUGACGGUAACGAAUAAGAAAGCAACGGCUAACUACGUG